GUCUUGAAUUAACCUACCCAUGGAUCGUUUCGGUAUUUAGUCGAUGUGCUCCGUGUUCGGCGUCAUACGAAAUCAAGCCGUAUUCCAAGACACAACGUUGGUAUUGUCACAAAAACUGUUUCGUUACAUAAUUUUAACAUAAAAGCAUACAUGAGAUACGUUAAUAUGUGAAGUAAUUAUUAAUAAGUGUUGUAUAUCCUAGUGCAAAAUUUAGUCUACCCACUUGUUUGAAGUUAUCAGGGACUGUGAUGAUAGCCAUCUUGUUUCAUUGUUUCUGCAAACGAUUGUUUUGAGUAUUAACACGGGUUGCGGUUAUAUGGACGCCAUUAUUAUGCACUUGAUCGGAGGCGAACCAGAGGGCUGUUACGCCGCCAUCUUUUUGUAGCCAGCAUAGAAAUCAUAACCUAACAUAAAAAAUGAAGUGCUUCGAGCGAUCCUGCAGUAGUGAUUUCAAUUGUAAAUCGCCAAAUAAAGCUUCCGGAUGGGUAUACAAAUAUCGUUUCUUAAAGGAAGUUUAUCGAACGGAAUCAUUGGCUACAAACCAUCGCAAAUGCUGAAUCAAUAUUGGCUCCAAAAAAUGCAUUAGGCGUGAGCCUAGCUUUAUCAUGCCUAUGCUCGAUUUGUGUUGGUUGGGAUAGGGUUACCACUGCCCUGAGGCGAACUUGAAUGCAAAGGCAUUCUAUUAAACAUCAAGGUGCAUGGAUAUUCCAGUGAAUAUGCCCACGUCAUGUGGUAUAAGCCAAGGAGCUGGAAUUGACAGGUGGUUCGUUUUCGACAGUAUGAUGAUAAGGCAUGGAAGAUGCGAGAGGGGAUAAAAAAUGACAGCGACUAUUUUUGUUUAUAAACAAAGCAGGUCUAAUUUUUAUGCUACAUAGCGGUCCACACCAACAUAUACAUACGCUGGGCCGGUUUCAAUCGAACUAGCUGUUGUGUCUCACAACCCGCACGAUCAGGUGAGUCUCCAGCUAAAGCAGCAGUCGCCGGGAAACGAUAUGCAUGGAUAUCCACAGCGUAUCGCUAUCACUCAAUCCUAAUGGGUCGCCAACGACUAAUUCCACCAAAUCGAAUGGAACUUAGAGCAGUACGGCACAAGCCCGCCGGUAGUGACCCUUUCAUAUACCCAAAAAGCUCCUCCAAAGCUCCCACAAUCGCUGAUUUGCCAAUCCCAGCAGCAACAGCAACAACCCUCACGUUCCGUAAAACAGCAAUGCAGACAACAACUUGCAGCAGUCACCGAAACACAACAAUGAUGCUAACAGCGUAAACAAAACCAACGUUUAUGCGCAGCAAACACAUAGCGGUAUGCACUCAUCAUUGCAUGCCAUUUGUUAUCCUCUUUCUCGGAAAACUCUAGCCGUUCGUUUGGUCGCUGUCAAUUCGAACUCAAGUAAUGGCUGAACAGCAGUUCUGACAUAACAUUCCACCUUAUUAUACCGCCUUGGUAUAAGCUUUUUUCCGUCGCUGCUAAACAUAUGUGAGUGCUGUUUAUAGGUAUUACAGUAACAGAAUGUAGAAUGAUCUGGAAAGCAAUGUAGAUUAUCAAGUUAUACAAAGUGUAUGAAAGAAGAAGAGAUGCAUAAAUCAAUACAAAUGUUGAUCACGUUAAUGCCGACAUUCUGCAGCGAAACUUUAGUGGUUGAUAUAUUAGCCCCUUAACCUAUGACUUAAUUUGAUCAGGCAUCGAAUGAUUUCACUACUUUACUGAGCGCCCUAGCGCUCUGUGAUAUGCAAGCGAAUCUCGAGUGAGAUUCGAUGUUUAGAUGAAGAAGUUAAUUGAAUGGAUUUAGUAUGAAUAAUAAGUCAUUAUAAACGCUAUAAAAUCGAAGAAUGCAAUAUAACUUAUAUCUAUACAAUUAUUUUAAAGCCUUUUAGAAAAAGUUGUAUACUAUAGUUUAUCUCCUGAAAAAUAAUUUAAUCACCAAAAUUGUAGAUAGUUAGGUAAAUUUUAGGUUACUAUUGGAUCCAUAAUAACAGUAAAUUCCAUAGUUUAACCAGUUUUACAUGAAAUCAAGGAAAUGUGUUUGGUUAUCCAGUUGCUCCAAAAUCCACUAUUCUCUCGUAGCAAUGUAUUCUAAAAAAACUAUGUAGUUCUUUUCUAUAACAAAGAGUAGGGCGAAAACAUGAAAGAAUUGGG